CGUCUCCCGUGGGCGAGGGGCGGGCGAGCACCGCGGUGGGGGGCGGCGGCGGGCGCUUGAGAUCCUCUUUAAAUCCCCCUUGGAGGGACGUCUGAGAUGAAAGCUGAGGAUCGAUCGAGCUUCACCCGAGUGAAAGUUAAAAACAGAAACGGAAAACAGGGAGCGAAGGCGUAGUGCGAGUGGAGCGGCGGGAAUCUUGAACUCCGAACGGGGAUUGGUCAGCCAGCAGGGAGAGCGAGCCAGCGGCCAGGCGGCCGGCGCUCCGGGAAAACGCGCAGCCCGGCCAGGCUGGUGGGGAGGAGGUCCCCGGGCGAGGGGCGUGCGCUGGGUGCGCCCCGGGGAGACCGGGCCACACGUUCCCGGGCCGGGGCGGGCGCGCGGACCCGCAGUCGGCGGGGCGGGGGGCGUGACCCGCCGCCCUCCCCUUCCACGCCCAGCGAGCGCUGAAACUGUCCGGCCGAAGAGUCCUAGCUCUCCCAACCGCCUCGGCGCGGGCCCGCGCACCCCCGGCCCCGGCCCCCAGCACGCCCCCGAGGGCGCCAGGAUAGGAGUGGAACGGGCUGAUUCAGGGGUUUGCUGUGGAGGCAUCGCGCGUGGGACAGCAGCCUGCGACUGGCGAGACCAAGGAAACUCGCUGCCGGGGUCCUGGCUGGAUCUAGCGGAAACUCAGGUCUCCGGCAGCCAGGAACCUUGCCACCCUUGGCCCACCCCGGAAUUUGUAGAUGAACUACCCAGGAGCGGUGUAUGAGGCGACAGCGGCGCGCAGACCCGCUUUGGGACAGGUUAUAAACAUCUUCCUUUUCAAGAACGCUCAAGCCAGUCUAAGAUCUGAGGCACCGGUGAGGAGAUAACAACAGCCAAUUAUCCUACCUUGGUAUGCUGAGCAACUUAACCUUGAAGCAGAAUUAACUCUUAUUAGUGGUCUUAUUAGUGGCCUUAAAACACAGGGAUGGGGAUGCCCAAAGAUAAUUUAGUAAGUAUGAUUAAUUUUUCAAUGAUUCCAGAGCUCAAAGAGUUCUGUAAGUGAACCCUCUGCCCCAAAACUGAAGUAAGAUGGUUUUCAUGUAUCAGAAAAUUCUGCCUUAAUUUAACCUAAAUUCUUAAGGGCUUUUAAACCCAUUUUCCUCCCAAGUUCUGCAUUAAGUCACUCUCCUUCCUUAUAAUUAAAAUGUUUGCAGAAACUGUU